AGAGUUUGAUCCUGGCUCAGGAUGAACGCUGGCGGCGUGCUUAACACAUGCAAGUCGAACGAACCUUCGGGUUAGUGGCGGACGGGUGAGUAACGCGUGAGAAUCUGCCCUCAGGAGGGGGAUAACAGCUGGAAACGGCUGCUAAUACCCCAUAUGCCGCGAGGUGAAAUGAAUUUCGCCUGAGGAUGAGCUCGCGUCUGAUUAGCUAGUUGGUGUAGGUAAUGGCUCACCAAGGCAUCGAUCAGUAGCUGGUCUGAGAGGAUGAUCAGCCACACUGGGACUGAGACACGGCCCAGACUCCUACGGGAGGCAGCAGUGGGGAAUUUUCCGCAAUGGGCGAAAGCCUGACGGAGCAACGCCGCGUGAGGGAUGAAGGCCUCUGGGCUGUAAACCUCUUUUAUCAAGGAAGAAGAUCUGACGGUACUUGAUGAAUAAGCCACGGCUAAUUCCGUGCCAGCAGCCGCGGUAAUACGGGAGUGGCAAGCGUUAUCCGGAAUUAUUGGGCGUAAAGCGUCCGCAGGCGGCCCUUCAAGUCUGCUGUUAAAAAGUGGAGCUCAACUCCAUCAUGGCAGUGGAAACUGAGGGGCUUGAGUGUGGUAGGGGCAGAGGGAAUUCCCGGUGUAGCGGUGAAAUGCGUAGAUAUCGGGAAGAACACCAGUGGCGAAGGCGCUCUGCUGGGCCAUCACUGACGCUCAUGGACGAAAGCCAGGGGAGCGAAAGGGAUUAGAUACCCCUGUAGUCCUGGCCGUAAACGAUGAACACUAGGUGUCGGGGGAAUCGACCCCCUCGGUGUCGUAGCCAACGCGUUAAGUGUUCCGCCUGGGGAGUACGCACGCAAGUGUGAAACUCAAAGGAAUUGACGGGGGCCCGCACAAGCGGUGGAGUAUGUGGUUUAAUUCGAUGCAACGCGAAGAACCUUACCAGGGUUUGACAUCCUGCGAAUCUCUUGGAAACGAGAGAGUGCCUUCGGGAGCGCAGUGACAGGUGGUGCAUGGCUGUCGUCAGCUCGUGUCGUGAGAUGUUGGGUUAAGUCCCGCAACGAGCGCAACCCACGUCUUUAGUUGCCAGCAUUUAGUUGGGCACUCUAGAGAGACCGCCGGUGAUAAACCGGAGGAAGGUGUGGAUGACGUCAAGUCAUCAUGCCCCUUACAUCCUGGGCUACACACGUACUACAAUGCUACGGACAAAGGGCAGCAAGUUCGCGAGGACAAGCAAAUCCCAUAAACCGUGGCUCAGUUCAGAUCGUAGGCUGCAACUCGCCUACGUGAAGGAGGAAUCGCUAGUAAUCGCAGGUCAGCAUACUGCGGUGAAUACGUUCCCGGGCCUUGUACACACCGCCCGUCACACCAUGGAAGUUGGCCACGCCCGAAGCCGUUACUCCAACCCUUGUGGAGGAGGACGUCGAAGGUGGGGCUGAUGACUGGGGUGAAGUCGUAACAAGGUAACC
rnacentral:rRNA from 1 species